rnacentral:rRNA from 1 species
UGUUUGAUGUUCUAACGUUGGCCCCUGAUCGGGGUUGCGGACAGUGUCUGGUGGGUAGUUUGACUGGGGCGGUCUCCUCCUAAAGAGUAACGGAGGAGCACGAAGGUUGGCUAAUCCUGGUCGGACAUCAGGAGGUUAGUGCAAUGGCAUAAGCCAGCUUGACUGCGAGCGUGACGGCGCGAGCAGGUGCGAAAGCAGGUCAUAGUGAUCCGGUGGUUCUGAAUGGAAGGGCCAUCGCUCAACGGAUAAAAGGUACUCCGGGGAUAACAGGCUGAUACCGCCCAAGAGUUCAUAUCGACGGCGGUGUUUGGCACCUCGAUGUCGGCUCAUCACAUCCUGGGGCUGAAGUAGGUCCCAAGGGUAUGGCUGUUCGCCAUUUAAAGUGGUACGCGAGCUGGGUUUAGAACGUCGUGAGACAGUUCGGUCCCUAUCUGCCGUGGGCGCUGGAGAACUGAGGGGGGCUGCUCCUAGUACGAGAGGACCGGAGUGGACGCAUCACUGGUGUUCGGGUUGUCAUGCCAAUGGCACUGCCCGGUAGCUAAAUGCGGAAGAGAUAAGUGCUGAAAGCAUCUAAGCACGAAACUUGCCCCGAGAUGAGUUCUCCCUGAGACUUUAAGUCUCCUGAAGGAACGUUGAAGACGACGACGUUGA